UUAAGUGACUAAGCGUACAAGGUGGAUGCCUUGGCAAUCAGAGGCGAAGAAGGACGUGCUAAUCUGCGAAAAGCUUGGAUGAGUCGAUAAGAGGCGUUUAAUCCAAGAUAUCCGAAUGGGGAAACCCAGUAGAUGAAGAAUCUACUAUCAACAAGUGAAUUCAUAGCUUGUUGAGGCAAACCGGGAGAACUGAAACAUCUAAGUACCCCGAGGAAAAGAAAUCAACCGAGAUUUCGUCAGUAGCGGCGAGCGAAAGCGAAAGAGCCAGUAAGUGAUAACAGUAUGGUUAGGAGAAUGUGUUGGGAAGCACAAUCAAAGAGGGUGAUAAUCCCGUAUCUAAAAACCAUAUUGUGGUACUAAGCUAACGAGAAGUAGGGCGGGACACGUGAUAUCCUGUUUGAAGAAGGGGGGACCAUCCUCCAAGGCUAAAUACUCCUGAUUGACCGAUAGUGAACCAGUACUGUGAAGGAAAGGCGAAAAGAACCCCGGUGAGGGGAGUGAAAUAGAACCUGAAACCUUGUACGUACAAGCAGUGGGAGCCUGAAAGGGUGACUGCGUACCUUUUGUAUAAUGGGUCAGCGACUUAUAUUUUGUAGCGAGGUUAACUGAAUAAGGGAGCCGAAGGGAAACCGAGUCUUAACUGGGCGAAGAGUUGCAAGGUAUAGACCCGAAACCCGGUGAUCUAGCCAUGGGCAGGUUGAAGGUUGGGUAACACUAACUGGAGGACCGAACCGACUAAUGUUGAAAAAUUAGCGGAUGACUUGUGGCUGGGGGUGAAAGGCCAAUCAAACCGGGAGAUAGCUGGUUCUCCCCGAAAUCUAUUUAGGUAGAGCCUUGAGGUGACACCUUUGGGGGUAGAGCACUGUUUCGGCUAGGGGUCCAUCCCGGAUUACCAACCCGAUGCAAACUACGAAUACCAAAGAGUGAUACUCAGGAGACACACGGCGGGUGCUAACGUCCGUCGUGGAGAGGGAAACAACCCAGACCGCCAGCUAAGGUCCCCAAGUCUAUAUUAAGUGGGAAACGAAGUGGGAAGGCUUAGACAGCUAGGAUGUUGGCUUAGAAGCAGCCAUCAUUUAAAGAAAGCGUAAUAGCUCACUAGUCGAGUCGGCCUGCGCGGAAGAUGUAACGGGGCUAAAAUAUAGCACCGAAGCUGCGGCAUCAGACGAAAGUCUGUUGGGUAGGGGAGCGUUCUGUAAGCGGAUGAAGGUUAAUCGAGAGGUUAGCUGGACGUAUCAGAAGUGCGAAUGCUGACAUAAGUAACGAUAAAACGGGUGAAAAACCCGUUCGCCGGAAGACCAAGGGUUCCUGUCCAACGUUAAUCGGGGCAGGGUGAGUCGGCCCCUAAGGCGAGGCUGAAAAGCGUAGUCGAUGGGAAACAGGUUAAUAUUCCUGUACUUGGUAAAGCUGCGAUGUGGGGACGGAGUAGGUUAGGUUAUCGCACUGUUGGAUAUGUGCGUUUAAGUUGGUAGGUGGGAAGUUUAGGCAAAUCCGGACUUCUAUUAAACACUGAGAGAUGAUGACGAGGCUCUACGGAGCUGAAGUAACUGAUACCACACUUCCAGGAAAAGCCACUAAGCGACAGGCUUUACUAAACCGUACUGAAAACCGACACAGGUGGUCAGGUAGAGAAUACUCAGGCGCUUGAGAGAACUCGGGUGAAGGAACUAGGCAAAAUAGCACCGUAACUUCGGGAGAAGGUGCGCCGGCGUAGAUUGUAGUCCCUCGCGGGCGAAGGUUGAACCGGUCGAAGAUACCAGCUGGCUGCAACUGUUUAUUAAAAACACAGCACUCUGCAAACACGAAAGUGGAGGUAUAGGGUGUGAUGCCUGCCCGGUGCUGGAAGGUUAAUUGAUGGUGUAAUCGCAAGAGAAGCACCUGAUCGAAGCCCCAGUAAACGGCGGCCGUAACUAUAACGGUCCUAAGGUAGCGAAAUUCCUUGUCGGGUAAGUUCCGACCUGCACGAAUGGCAUAAUGAUGGCCAGGCUGUCUCCACCCGAGACUCAGUGAAAUUGAAAUCGCCGUGAAGAUGCGGUGUACCCGCGGCUAGACGGAAAGACCCCGUGAACCUUUACUAUAGCUUGACACUGAACAUUGAAUUUUGAUGUGUAGGAUAGGUGGGAGACUUAGAAGUAGUCACGCCAGUGAUUAUGGAGUCAUCCUUGAAAUACCACCCUUUAACGUUUGAUGUUCUAACGAAGAUUGCGGAACGCGGUCUCGGACAGUGUCUGGUGGGUAGUUUGACUGGGGCGGUCUCCUCCCAAAGCGUAACGGAGGAGCACGAAGGUUUGCUAAUCACGGUCGGACAUCGUGAGGUUAGUGCAAUGGUAUAAGCAAGCUUAACUGCGAGACAGACAAGUCGAGCAGGUACGAAAGUAGGUCAUAGUGAUCCGGUGGUUCUGAAUGGAAGGGCCAUCGCUCAACGGAUAAAAGGUACUCCGGGGAUAACAGGCUGAUACCGCCCAAGAGUUCAUAUCGACGGCGGUGUUUGGCACCUCGAUGUCGGCUCAUCACAUCCUGGGGCUGAAGUAGGUCCCAAGGGUAUGGCUGUUCGCCAUUUAAAGUGGUACGCGAGCUGGGUUUAGAACGUCGUGAGACAGUUCGGUCCCUAUCUGCCGUGGGCGUAGGAGAAUUGGUUGGGGCUGCUCCUAGUACGAGAGGACCGGAGUGGACGCACCACUGGUGUUCCGGUUGUGUCGCCAGACGCAUUGCCGGGUAGCUAAGUGCGGAAGAGAUAAGUGCUGAAAGCAUCUAAGCACGAAACUUGCCAAGAGAUGAGUUCUCCCUGUCUUUAAGACAGUAAGGGUUGUUUAAGACGAAGACGUAGAUAGGUCUGGUGUGUAAGUGAUGUGAGUCAUUGAGCUAACAGAUACUAAUUGCCCGAGAGGCUUAACUAU
rnacentral:rRNA from 1 species